CAGCGAGUCGUCUUCUCUUCUUCCGGCGCCAUAAGCACGAUUUGUGAAGUCCGCUGAAAGGACGAUACAUAAAUCCGUCUCCAAAAAGCAUAUAAACAACGCUUUAGGAAAAAGGAAGUAAAUAUAAGACCAACGAAUGAUAACAAUGGUUGAUCUUUUGCUACAAAUACUGGAAAAAAAUGCUUCUCUUCUAAUUUGUGAUUGAACUUGCAAGAAAGCUUGAAAUUUUGGUGACAGCAUGUAUUGAUAACACAGGCCAAGAUCGGUUUUCCUGUUAAAAUAAAUAAAUCAAAAGAGCAAAAAGUGAAGAAUAUCAGAUUUGAAGCAAGAAUUUUUUAUCGAAUUAAAAAGAAAAAGGUACCCGUCUUCAUGGAGGAUGGAGGAAAAGUGGAACUCUCUUUUUAUCCAUGGAGACAAAAAUGAGAUAUUAGCGUUUGAAAUUGUUGUCAUCAAAGAGGAAGAAGAAAGGGUUUUGGUAGAAAUUAAUGGCUAUUACUACCAAUGAAGGAAGAAUGAAACGGUUGGGUUUCUCAAUUAAACUAAUCGGUAAAUUAAAGAAGAAGAAAUUUAUUACUCGA
rnacentral:lncRNA from 1 species